AACGAACGCUGGCGGCAUGCCUAACACAUGCAAGUCGAACGAGACCUUCGGGUCUAGUGGCGCACGGGUGCGUAACGCGUGGGAAUCUGCCCUUGGGUUCGGAAUAACAGCGAGAAAUUGCUGCUAAUACCGGAUGAUGACGUAAGUCCAAAGAUUUAUCGCCCAAGGAUGAGCCCGCGUAGGAUUAGCUAGUUGGUGAGGUAAAGGCUCACCAAGGCGACGAUCCUUAGCUGGUCUGAGAGGAUGAUCAGCCACACUGGGACUGAGACACGGCCCAGACUCCUACGGGAGGCAGCAGUGGGGGAAUAUUGGACAAUGGGC
rnacentral:rRNA from 1 species